GUAACAAUCCGAGAAUCCAAAAUAGCCAAAGGUUAAAUGAUGAAUUGACCAUGUCGACCAACUAGAGGAAGUGAAGGUUGUGUAACAUGAUGAGAACCCACCAUUUUUUUGAGUAAACUAACAGGAAAAACUAGAUGAAUAGAACGCGAAUCAGGCAACUAUAACUUAUAAGCAACUAAACCAAUCUUUUCAAUGACUUGAAAAGGG
rnacentral:lncRNA from 1 species